AAAUAGAAAGCGAUACAUCUUGCCUUCAGUUUCGACCUGAACUUUGAUUCUAAAUCUCUAUUUU
rnacentral:tRNA from 1 species